ensembl:antisense Gm13594 predicted gene 13594
AGUGCUUGGGCUCCAGCGGCCCGCUGCGCACCAACUGAAUCCCGUGCAAACUUUUCCGGAGGAGCUGCGAACCACAGCGCCCCCGCCUUCCCAAGCCACUGCCCGCUUUAGGGGACCCGGCCCGUCCAGGCUCCGCUCCUCCCCCGCACGGCUAGCUCGGACGCCCGGAGCGAGCGCGCGGCGGAAAGCGGCCGGCCCCCGGCCGCCGCGCCCGCGCCCCAACUCACCCUGCCCCAUGGCCCUGCCGGGAGCCCCGAGCUCGCAGCCGCCUCGGCCACCUCGCUCUGCAGAAGUGAGGGUGACGAGGUUUAAGCUCGUCCAGUCUUCCCAGACAUGCCUCUCUUGAUGUAAACAGCCAACAGCUGGGAUUUGAGGACUGGACGUUCUCAUGAUGACAGUCUAUAAGCUAAGAAAGAACAGCAGAGAUUUAGUGGCCUCCUGGAAGUUUCACAGGAAUAAAGGAAUCUCAGACAGUG